ACCUGAGGUGGUAGAGUGAAAGCUCGC
rnacentral:piRNA from 1 species